rnacentral:rRNA from 1 species
UACGAAGGGGGCUAGCGUUGCUCGGAAUCACUGGGCGUAAAGGGUGCGUAGGCGGGUCUUUAAGUCAGGGGUGAAAUCCUGGAGCUCAACUCCAGAACUGCCUUUGAUACUGAGGAUCUUGAGUUCGGGAGAGGUGAGUGAACUGCGAGUGUAGAGGUGAAAUUCGUAGAUAUUCGCAAGAACACCAGUGGCGAAGGCGACUCACUGGCCGUAUACUGACG